rnacentral:rRNA from 1 species
AUGAAGAAACAAAUACAGCAGUUUGUACAGUCCUGUCUAGUCUGUCAGCAAGCAAAACUAGAGAGAGUGGCAUAUCCAGGACUGCUAUCUCCCUUACCUGUUCCUGCCAAGGCUUGGGAAACUGUCACGAUGGAUUUCAUCUCAGGCCUACCCUCUUCUGAUCAAUAUGAUUGCAUCAUGGUGGUUAUUGACAAGUUUACCAAAUAUGGGCAUUUCAUUCCUGUCAAACAUCCAUACACUGCCCAGAAGAUUUUUGAAUUGUUUUUGGACAAUAUCUAA